rnacentral:rRNA from 1 species
GAACGCUAGCGGCAGGCUUAACACAUGCAAGUCGAGGGGCAGCGCGGGGUAGCAAUACUCUGGCGGCGACCGGCGAAAGGGUGCGUAACGCGUGAGCAACUUGCCCGUAUCUGGGACAUAAGCGGUGGAAACGCCGUCUAAUUUCCCAUAACAACAGGAGCCGCAUGACUCCAGUUUGAAAGAUCCGUCGGAUACGGAUGGGCUCGCGAGACAUUAGCUAGUCGGCGUGGUAACGGCACACCGAGGCGACGAUGUCUAGGGGUUCUGAGAGGAAGGUCCCCCACACUGGAACUGAGACACGGUCCAGACUCCUACGGGAGGCAGCAGUGAGGAAUAUUGGUCAAUGGGCGCAAGCCUGAACCAGCCAUGCCGCGUGCAGGAAUAAGGCCCUAUGGGUCGUAAACUGCUUUUGUGGUGGAGCAAUAAGGUGUACGCGUACAUCGAUGAGAGUACAUCACGAAUAAGCAUCGGCUAACUCCGUGCC